rnacentral:rRNA from 1 species
UUGCUGUCACUUAUAGAUGGAUCCGCGCUGCAUUAGCUAGUUGGUAAGGUAACGGCUUACCAAGGCAACGAUGCAUAGCCGACCUGAGAGGGUGAUCGGCCACACUGGAACUGAGACACGGUCCAGACUCCUACGGGAGGCAGCAGUAGGGAAUCUUCCGCAAUGGGCGAAAGCCUGACGGAGCAACGCCGCGUGAGUGAUGAAGGUCUUCGGAUCGUAAAACUCUGUUAUUAGGGAAGAACAUAUGUGUAAGUAACUGUGCACAUCUUGACGGUACCUAAUCAGAAAGCCACGGCUAACUACGUGCCAGCAGCCGCGGUAAUACGUAGGUGGCAAGCGUUAUCCGGAAUUAUUGGGCGUAAAGCGCGCGUAGGCGGUUUUUUAAGUCUGAUGUGAAAGCCCACGGCUCAACCGUGGAGGGUCAUUGGAAACUGGAAAACUUGAGUGCAGAAGAGGAAAGUGGAAUUCCAUGUGUAGCGGUGAAAUGCGCAGAGAUAUGGAGGAACACCAGUGGCGAAGGCGACUUUCUGGUCUGUAACUGACGCUGAUGUGCGAAAGCGUGGGGAUCAAACAGGAUUAGAUACCCUGGUAGUCCACGCCGUAAACGAUGAGUGCUAAGUGUUAGGGGGUUUCCGCCCCUUAGUGCUGCAGCUAACGCAUUAAGCACUCCGCCUGGGGAGUACGACCGCAAGGUUGAAA